UGGGUUGUAGCUCAGUGGUAGAGCGCUUGCCUAGCACACAUGAAACCCUGGGUUCAAUCCUCAGUACCACAU
rnacentral:tRNA from 1 species